rnacentral:rRNA from 1 species
AUACGGAGGAUCCGAGCGUUAUCCGGAUUUAUUGGGUUUAAAGGGUGCGCAGGCGGGAGAUUAAGUCGGCGGUGAAAUUUUUCAGGUCAAAUGGAAAAGUGCCUUUGAUACUGGGUUUCUUGUGUGUGGGUGUAGUAGGGGGGAUUUUGGGUGUAGGGGUUAAAUGCUUAGAUAUCACGAGGAACUCCGAUUGCGCAGGCAGCUUACUAAACCACUACUGACGCUCAGGCACGAAGGCGUGGGGAUCAAACAGGAUUAGAUACCCUGGUAGUCCACGCAGUAAACGAUGAUUACUGGCUGUUUGCGAUACAAUGUAAGCGGCUGAGCGAAAGCGUUAAGUAAUCCACCUGGGGAGUACGUUCGCAAGAAUGAAACUCAAAGGAAUUGACGGGG